rnacentral:rRNA from 1 species
UACGUAGGAGACGAGCGUUGUCCGGAGUUACUGGGCGUAAAGGGUGCGCAGGUGGCGGCGCGCGUGGGGGGUGAAAUCGCCCGGCUUAACUGGGCGGGGGCCUUCCAGACGGCGGUGGCUUGAGCAGCGGAGGGGGACGUGGAAUUCCGGGUGGAGCGGUGAAAUGCGUAGAGAUCCGGAGGAACACCGACGGCGCAGGCAGCGUCCUGGCCGCUUGCUGACACU